rnacentral:rRNA from 1 species
UACGUAGGGUGCAAGCGUUGUCCGGAAUUAUUGGGCGUAAAGAGCUCGUAGGCGGUUUGUCGCGUCGAAUGUGAAAACCCGGGGCUCAACCCCGGGCCUGCAUUCGAUACGGGCAGACUAGAGUUCGGUAGGGGAGUCUGGAAUUCCUGGUGUAGCGGUGAAAUGCGCAGAUAUCAGGAGGAACACCGGUGGCGAAGGCGGGACUCUGGGCUGAUACUGACGCUGAGGAGCGAAAGCGUGGGGAGCGAACAGG